AUGGUGCUGCCACUGAUGAAGCUCGGCUUGCUCGCGUUCCGGACGCUGAGCAAGCCCGUCGCCAAUAAACUCAAGCGCAACGCCGGCAUCCACCCCAGGUUCCGCGGGUUCAUCAUCGACGUCGCGCAGGCAAACCAUCGUUUAGCAACAAACAUGCAGAGGCGGCUUAUUGGACGUGCAACUGACAUUCACAUUCGGCCCCUGAAUGAAGAGAAAGCUAUUCAAGCUGCUACAGAUCUUCUUGGUGAACUGUUCAUUUUCUCGGUUGCUUGUGGUGCAAUAAUCUUUGAGGUUCAUAGAAGUGGCAAGUCAGAAGCCAGAAAAGAAGAGGCCCGUAAGAAGGCACUGGAGGAAAUAAGGGAAAAGAUGGAGGAACUCGAGAGGGAAAAGCAGAUGAUGAAGCUGAGGGUGGCGGAGGUGGAGCGGGUGACCGGGGUAGGGGGCGGGUGGCCGUGGGUUCUUCCAAGGGCCUUCACUUCCGGUGCCGCCCAGGCAGAGCCAGAGCCAGAGCCAGCAGCUCAGCAGCCCACGGCUGCUUAG
rnacentral:rRNA from 1 species